rnacentral:rRNA from 1 species
CCUAACACAUGCAAGUGGAACGGAAACGAUGGAAGCUUGCUUCCAGGCGUCGAGUGGCGGACGGGUGAGUAAUACUUAGGAAUCUGCCCAGUAGUGGGGGACAACUCGGGGAAACUCGAGCUAAUACCGCAUACGCACUACGGUGGAAAGUGGGGGAUCUUCGGACCUCACGCUAUUGGAUGAGCCUAAGUCGGAUUAGCUUGUUGGUGAGGUAAUGGCUCACCAAGGCGACGAUCCGUAGCUGGUCUGAGAGGACGAUCAGCCACACUGGGACUGAGACACGGCCCAGACUCCUACGGGAGGCAGCAGUGGGGAAUAUUGGACAAUGGGCGCAAGCCUGAUCCAGCAAUGCCGCGUGUGUGAAGAAGGCCUGCGGGUUGUAAAGCACUUUCAGUAGAGAAGAAAAGCUUAGGGCUAAUAACCCUGAGUCUUGACGUAACCUACAGAAGAAGCACCGGCUAACUCCGUGCCAGCAGCCGCGGUAAUACGGAGGGUGCGAGCGUUAAUCGGAAUUACUGGGCGUAAAGCGCGCGUAGGCGGCUUAGUAAGUCGGAUGUGAAAGCCCAGGGCUUAACCUUGGAAUUGCAUUCGAUACUGCUGAGCUAGAGUAUGGUAGAGGGAAGUGGAAUUUCCGGUGUAGCGGUGAAAUGCGUAGAUAUCGGAAGGAACACCAGUGGCGAAGGCGACUUCCUGGGCCAAUACUGACGCUGAGGUGCGAAAGCGUGGG